rnacentral:rRNA from 1 species
UACCAGCACCCCGAGUGGUCGGGACGUUUAUUGGGCCUAAAGCAUCCGUAGCCGGUUCUACAAGUCUUCCGUUAAAUCCACCUGCUUAACAGAUGGGCUGCGGAAGAUACUAUAGAGCUAGGAGGCGGGAGAGGCAAGCGGUACUCGAUGGGUAGGGUAAAUCCGUUGAUCCAUUGAAGACCACCAGUGGCGAAGGCGGCUUGCCAGAACGCGCUCGACGGUGAGGGAUGAAAGCUGGGGGAGCAAACCGGG